rnacentral:rRNA from 1 species
CGGAGGUGACGCUUGUGGAACGAGCGGCGGACGGGUGAGUAACACGUGGGCAACCUGCCUGUAAGACUGGGAUAACCCCGGGAAACCGGGGCUAAUACCGGAUAAUACUUUUCAUCACCUGAUGGGAAGUUGAAAGGUGGCUUUUAGCUACCACUUACAGAUGGGCCCGCGGCGCAUUAGCUAGUUGGUGAGGUAACGGCUCACCAAGGCAACGAUGCGUAGCCGACCUGAGAGGGUGAUCGGCCACACUGGGACUGAGACACGGCCCAGACUCCUACGGGAGGCAGCAGUAGGGAAUCUUCCGCAAUGGACGAAAGUCUGACGGAGCAACGCCGCGUGAGUGAUGAAGGUUUUCGGAUCGUAAAGCUCUGUUGUUAGGGAAGAACAAGUGCCGUUCGAAUAGGGCGGCACCUUGACGGUACCUAACCAGAAAGCCCCGGCUAACUACGUGCCAGCAGCCGCGGUAAUACGUAGGGGGCAAGCGUUGUCCGGAAUUAUUGGGCGUAAAGCGCGCGCAGGCGGUCCUUUAAGUCUGAUGUGAAAGCCCACGGCUCAACCGUGGAGGGUCAUUGGAAACUGGAGGACUUGAGUACAGAAGAGGAGAGUGGAAUUCCACGUGUAGCGGUGAAAUGCGUAGAGAUGUGGAGGAACACCAGUGGCGAAGGCGACUCUCUGGUCUGUAACUGACGCUGAGGCGCGAAAGCGUGGGGAGCGAACAGGAUUAGAUACCCUGGUAGUCCACGCCGUAAACGAUGAGUGCUAGGUGUUAGGGGGUUCCGCCCCUUAGUGCUGAAGU